rnacentral:lncRNA from 1 species
GAAUAACACGCAGAACACAGUUUAAGUGUUGUUCCUUUUUAUUGAAAGUUGCAGUGCUGAGGGAUUCGGAGAAAAUGGUUCUGAAGGAGUUAAAUGUAGUGGCAGGCAUUAUUAUUUCUCCCUACACCUCCAAGAAAAACUCAGCUGGAUAUUUGGGGAGCGCUAGCAACAUUCGCCAGGUCCAAUAUUAUGGUGACAUCUGAAAGGAGGUAAGGAUGGAUCAACCCAUCGGAAAAGAGCGCCACACUCCCUUAAAGGUCCUUACUUGGAGAUGUACCCGCCGCUCCCUAGGCGGCCGGAGGAGAGGAGAGGCUCCUGGUGCAGCUCUCCGCCGCCCCUAACUCUCUUAGGCGCCCCUAAGACUUAGGCCCUCUUGUACUGGAAGCUCAUCACGCAGGUUUGGAUGCAUGGGUUCCGCUUUAUACUCUCGAGGUAUGCCAGUGAUUAGACUCUGUAUGCACCAUCUACGUGCGUUUAACGCACCCUGCGAUGAGGCUCCAGCAUAAAUGUCUUCCUUAGCACUUAUAUCCAGGGAGUUCUCAGAGCUGCACACCUGCCCGUGACACUACUCCAGGCACGUCCCGCCUGUGGUUAAAUCCACGGACUCCACUGACCCGUAUCCCCGCAUGGGGAAGGCAGAGGAACGGCCUAUCUGGGGAGGGCCUAGCCUGUCAAGCCCCUGCAGCCACCAGUAGAAGUAAUCUGGCCGUCCGGAGCUCCAGGAUAUACUUGACACGUUCACCUCUGGAGCCGCCACCACCCUCCUCCCUCAAACCAGUCAGUGACGUGAGCCCCCGCCCCCAGUCCUCUCGCCGGGAUCCGGAAAGCCAGGAAGCGCUGGAAUGCCGCGUUCUCUCACCCUAUUGUGCCUAGGUGUUGCAAACCACUGGAGGACAGAGCUUCGUGCUUUGAUCUCAUGUCCCAGUCAUUCUUUAGCACAGAGGGAGUCCAGAUUGCACUUGAUUCCACUUGAUCGCAAAAUGAAGCAGAUGAUCUGGGCCAAUGGAGAACAUUCUGAGGAAGAAAGUGCUGACUCUGGAAGCAGAAACUCCCUUCAAGUCUUUGUACCAUACAGCUCCCUUAAACUAGGACCUGAAAAUCGGUUUCUUCUUAUUAGUACUAGAUUAAUUACGGAAAUUCUGAACACACUGAAACUGGAAAAAGACCAAAAAAAUGGAGACAAGAACCUAUGCCUUUUUAAAACUACACUGCAACAGAGAAAAUAG